rnacentral:rRNA from 1 species
GACGAACGCUGGCGGCGUGCUUAACACAUGCAAGUCGAACGGUGAAGCGCCUUCCUUUUUGGUGGGUGUGGAUGAGUGGCGAACGGGUGAGUAACACGUGAGUAACCUGCCCCCUUCUUCUGGAUAACCGCAUGAAAGUGUGGCUAAUACGGGAUAUUCUGGGUCUGUCGCAUGAUGGGUCUGGGAAAGAUAUUGUUUCGGUGGGGGAUGGGCUCGCGGCCUAUCAGCUUGUUGGUGGGGUGAUGGCCUACCAAGGCGGUGACGGGUAGCCGGCCUGAGAGUGUGGACGGUCACGCUGGGACUGAGACGCGGCCCAGACUCCUACGGGAGGCAGCAGUGGGGAAUAUUGCACAAUGGGCGCAAGCCUGAUGCAGCGACGCCGCGUGAGGGAUGGAGGCCUUCGGGUUGUGAACCUCUCUCGCCAGUGAAGCAGGCCUGCCUCGUUUGUGGGUGGGUUGACGGUAGCUGGAUAAGAAGCGCCGGCUAACUACGUG